rnacentral:rRNA from 1 species
AUGAAUCACGGGCAGCAGCAGGCGUACCACCUGAGCAACACGGUGAUCGGCUACCUCAACCUGCUCACGCUGCUCGCCUCCAUCCCCAUCAUCGGCGCCGGCCUCUGGCUGGCGCACGCCGCCUCCGCUGCCCCGGGCCCCACGUGCCAGUCCGCGCUGCAGGCCCCGCUCCUCGCCGUCGGCUUCGUGGCCUUCCUAGUCUCGCUCCCGGGCUUCGUCGGCGCGCGCUACCACGUCUCCUGGGCGCUCUGGCUCUACCUGGUCGCCGUCCUCCUCCUCGUGCUCUUCCUCCUCGGCGCCACCGUGUUCGGCCUCGCCGUCACGGCGGGCGGCGGGGGGCGGACGGUCCCCGGGAGGCCGUACCGCGAGUACCGGAUGCGGGACUACUCGCCGUGGCUGCGGGGCCACGUGUCCGCCGACCGCUACUGGCGCACGGCGCUGGCGUGCGUGGCCAGCUCCAGGGCGUGCCCCAAGGUGGCCGGAUGGACGCCCGACGACUACAUGCGCCGCGACCUCACGCCCGUCCAGUCCGGAUGCUGCAAGCCGCCCACGUCCUGCGUCUACGGCGGCGACGGGCUGACGGGGCAGGGCCCGGCGGUGGUGGCGGUGCAGGACGAGGACUGCUUCCGGUGGCAGAACGACCCGGCGGUGCUCUGCUACGGCUGCGACUCGUGCAGGGCCGGCGUGAUGGAGCAGCUGCGCCGCCACUGGCACAACGUCACCAUCGUCAACGCCGUGCUGCUGCUGCUGCUCAUCGCCGUCUGCUCCUGCGGCUGCUGCGCCUUCCGCAACGCCCGACGCGCCGAGUACGCCUACGGCGGCCGCAUGUCCAAGAUCCACCCGCGAUGGGAUUACUUCUGGUCAAGGUGGUGGCGUGGCCACAGAGAACAAAUCUAUUGA